AUUGAACGCUGGCGGCAGGCCUAACACAUGCAAGUCGAACGGUAACAGGAAGAAGCUUGCUUCUUUGCUGACGAGUGGCGGACGGGUGAGUAAUGUCUGGGAAACUGCCUGAUGGAGGGGGAUAACUACUGGAAACGGUAGCUAAUACCGCAUAACGUCGCAAGACCAAAGAGGGGGACCUUCGGGCAUCUUGCCAUCGGAUGUGCCCAGAUGGGAUUAGCUAGUAGGUGGGGUAACGGCUAACCUAGGCGACGCUCCCUAGCUGGUGUGAGAGGAUGACCAGCCACACUGGAACUGGGACACGGUCCAGACUCCUACGGGAGGCAGCAGUGGGGAAUAUUGCACAAUGGGCGCAAGCCUGAUGCAGCCAUGCCGCGUGUAUGAAGAAGGCCUUCGGGUUGUAAAGUACUUUCAGCGGGGAGGAAGGGAGUAAAGUUAAGACCUUUGCUCAUUGACGUUACCCGCAGAAGAAGCACCGGCUAACUCCGUG
rnacentral:rRNA from 1 species